AUGGGGGUGAGGCCUAGAAUGGGCCAAAGAGCACUUGAAAUGGAUCUGUAACUGCUGCAGACUAGCAACACCACAGGCUCUGUGAUCACAACAGGUAAUCCAACUGUAAGUGUCAUCAAAGGUAUAAACUGUCUGUGAAAAAAGAAUACCAGAUGGGCUUCCUCAGAAGUUACUUCAUCCCCAGAAUUCUGCUGGGGGAAAGAUCAGGUGCAGCUUGCACUGUUGAAGAGGCCCAAGGCAAAAAAAAAGAAAAAAAGAGCUACAACAGGAGAGACAGAGGCGCACCCAAGAGAAAGGCUUACUCAACUUGGACAUUGCCUAAUAAGCCUUUCUGCUGAUAUUGGCAAUGGGGAUGCCUGCAAUAUCAGUGAUAACCUACUACUGUCUUUGAUUCACUUCAUUCAUUCCUCAUCUACUGUACAUGAAACCUGUUGAAAACAAACAAGUCCAAAAAGAUGUAAAACUAGUUAUCAACUCAUUCACAAAUAUAU